GGCUCCUUGUGCGCCCAGUGCCUCAGCCGUCACAAGGACAUCCCACAUCCUCCCUGUUCCUCCCCUGCAGGCCCCCUGGCUGCUGGACAUGGUGGUGUCCCGAGCGGCACCGGUGGCCUCCCUGGCACUCUCUGGCUGCCUCGUCGUCUUUCCCAAGUGAGUAUGUUGGGGGCUGUAGCUGCUGCUUGCUGCAGCUGCUCAGCUCUCAUGCCGUAGCAUUUGUUCCUUGUGACCAUGGGUGUCCCUGCCCUGCCCACGAGGAUAUGGCAUAGAAUCAUCGCAUCAUUUGAGCUGGAAGGAACCUGGAAAGGGCACCUAGUCCCACUCCCCUGCAGGGAACAGGGACACCUAUCGCCACAUCAGGUUGCUCUCAGCCUGGCCCUGCUGAAGCCUUUAGAAAGCAGUGGCCAUCAUGCAGCAUGAAAAUGGGCCUGUCAGCAGGCAAUCAGAGAGAGCAACAAGGAUUGGUGGAGCGCUGCGUCCCACCGCUCACUGUCGUCUCCUCGCGUACAGGUUUCAAAUGGAGUUUGUACCCAAACCACCACCUGGGAUAUCCCGCAGGUCCUCAGGAGGCAUCCCUGCGGAGGGGAAACCAAAGGAAGAGGAGGCUUUGCCACCUCUCGCCCAGGGCAAGAAAGUGAGAUUUGCUGGCAAGCCAACCUUCAUCAAACGCUUGAGCUCGGACAGUCUAGAUGGAGGAAAACUCCGAAGGAUAAGGAGCUUACUGCGCAAGGAGAGCUCUACGUCCAGGUGAGGCUGGAGGCUCUGGCUUGGCAUGUGCACGGGGGUGAUUGACUGAGCCAACGAGAG
ensembl:lncRNA